GAUGAACGCUGGCGGCGUGCCUAAUACAUGCAAGUCGAGCGAACAGAUAAGGAGCUUGCUCCUUUGACGUUAGCGGCGGACGGGUGAGUAACACGUGGGUAACCUACCUAUAAGACUGGGAUAACUUCGGGAAACCGGAGCUAAUACCGGAUAACAUUUGGAACCGCAUGGUUCUAAAGUGAAAGAUGGUUUUACUAUCACUUAUAGAUGGACCCGCGCCGUAUUAGCUAGUUGGUAAGGUAACGGCUUACCAAGGCAACGAUACGUAGCCGACCUGAGAGGGUGAUCGGCCACACUGGAACUGAGACACGGUCCAGACUCCUACGGGAGGCAGCAGUAGGGAAUCUUCCGCAAUGGGCGAAAGCCUGACGGAGCAACGCCGCGUGAGUGAUGAAGGGUUUCGGCUCGUAAAACUCUGUUAUUAGGGAAGAACAAACGUGUAAGUAACUGUGCACGUCUUGACGGUACCUAAUCAGAAAGCCACGGCUAACUACGUG
rnacentral:rRNA from 1 species